rnacentral:rRNA from 1 species
GAUGAACGCUGACAGAAUGCUUAACACAUGCAAGUCGAUGGGGAAGUGGUGCUUGCACCAUGGCAACCAUGGCGGAGGGGGGAGUAACGCGUAAGGGCCUUACCUGCAGGACUGGGAUACAAGGGGGAAACUCUUGAAAGGACCGGAAAAUGUCUUGGAGCUGCUUGGCUUUAGGAUGAAAGGAGACGCCUGCGGAGAGCCUUGCGUCCUAUUAGCUAGUUGGUGGGGUAAUGGCUCACCAAGGCGAAGAUAGGUAGCCGGCCUGAGAGGGUGGACGGCCACAAGGGGACUGAGAUACGGCCCUUACUCCUACGGGAGGCAGCAGUGGGGAAUAUUGGACAAUGGGGGCAACCCUGAUCCAGCAAUUCUGUGUGCACGAAGAAGGUUUUCGGAUUGUAAAGUGCUUUCAGCAGGGAAGAAGUAAGUGACGGUACCUGCAGAAGAAGCGACGGCUAAAUACGUG